UAAAAUAGGAUUCCCCUAAUAGAACCCGUUGUUCCUUUUCAACCGAGACAUAUUUGAGGCAACUUUUUUUUCCCUAUGUAAACGACCAGGGCUUAUCUUCAUGGAUAUAGUAACCGGUUAUCAGGAAUGAAAAGGACCCGGUGUUACAAUAAAGCCGAAUUCUAUUGACACCCAGUUUCUCAUCGCAACGCAUAAAUUUUUAUUUUAUUUAUCAUCUUUUUUAAUUUAUUUAACAUUUUCUUGUGAUAAUUUGUACUUGCAUAGCAGCUGAGUCCACUAUUAAAAACAUUUAUCCUCUUUUCCUUACUUCCAUCUAUCUAUAAACCAAAAAAGACUAAAUUAUAAAUUUAUAUAUACCCAACGAUCUUCUUGAUUUUAGCAGAGCCAAUAUCCAUCCUCUUCAAUGAUGGAACAUAUGCACUGGAUGUACAAAAAUUAAACAGCACACUCCUCAAUAUAUGUCGUCUUUGGAAGAUUUUCUUAGAUUUGCCAAAGAUAAUCGAGUGAAUAAGGUCGAAAGUUAUAUUAGGUGUCCUUAUGUAGAUUGCAACAAGGACACCUAACAAAGUUAUAUGGAAAGUAGGAUCGGAGGAGAAAGUUUUUGCCUGAUCGAUUGUUUGGGAGUGUGUUCGUAGUCGGGAAGCAAAAGUACCAUGGGUGGAUGUUAUUUGGUUUUCUCAUUGUAUUCCUCGACAUGCUUUUCACAUGUGGCUCGUAGUGCAAGGUAAACUUCUUACUCAAGACAGAAUUCUUACAUGGAGUCCGUCGAGACGUAAGGAUAUGAACAUGAUAUGUUGUCCUCUAUGCAAGGCUAAUUUUGAUUCCCAUCACCAUCAGUUCUUUGAGUGUAUGUAUACUUCUCAUAUCUGGUCUUGUAUUAGAGAUAUUGCUGGUAUGCAGGUUAUCCCACCUCAUUUGGAGGCGAUUUUGGAUUGUCUCAUUCCACGUGCUCAUUCAAGGUCAGUCUCAAAUGUAGUAGGGCGAUUGAUUGUUGUUGCUGCUACAUACUACAUAUGGCAAGAACGUAACAGAAGACUUUUUGAGAACCAUUCGCGCCCUCAAGACAGAAUUCUUACAUGGAGUCUGUCGAGACGUAAGGAUAUGAACAUGAUGUGUUGUCCUCUAUGCAAGGCUGAUUUUGAUUCCCGUCACCAUCAGUUCUUUGAGUGUAUGUAUACUUCUCAUAUCUGGUCUUGUAUUAGAGAUAUUGCUGGUAUGCAGGUUAUCCCACCUCAUUUGGAGGCGAUUUUGGAUUGGCUCAUUCCACGUGCUCAUUCAAGAUCAGUCUCAAAUGUAGUAGGGCUACAUACUACAUAUGGCAAAAACGUAAUAGAAGACUUUUUGAGAACCAUUCGCGCCCUCCUGAUGUAGUUCACGAUAUCAUUAUUUCAACGGUCCGAUCAAGACUUAUGCGGUUUAAAUUCAAGAGAUCUGCCGAAGUGGUGGCUAAAUUGGCGUUAUGGAAUAUCCUUGGAGAAAGCUUGUUUCAAGAUGGCUAGUUAUUCUUGAGUAUUAAAUUACUUUGUCUACUGUUUUCUAUUUUACGUUGAUAGUAGGCUAGAUUACUAGCUAUUGAGGUAAAAUUGUAUUACAUAUAUAGGGCAUGUCCUAUAUAUGAACUAGUGUAGUAUCUCUGCUACAUUACUUUUACUUUAAUUGUUGGGUAUUUAUAACAGCCACCGGGGAAUUACCUUCCUCUUUACCCGUGCAGAUUGCAACAAUAACAUGAAGUUUGCUGAGA